rnacentral:rRNA from 3 species
CCUAGUACGAGAGGACCGGAGUGGACGCAUCACUGGUGUUCGGGUUGUCAUGCCAAUGGCACUGCCCGGUAGCUAAAUGCGGAAGAGAUAAGUGCUGAAAGCAUCUAAGCACGAAACUUGCCCCGAGAUGAGUUCUCCCUGAGACUUAGAGUCUCCUGAAGGAACGUUGAAGACGACGACGUUGAUAGGCCGGGUGUGUAAGCGCAGCGAUGCGUUGAGCUAACCGGUACUAAUGAACCGUGAGGCUUAACCUUACAACGCCGAAG